rnacentral:rRNA from 1 species
CCCUUAGAUGUUCUGGGCCGCACGCGCGCUACACUGACGAAUGCAACGAGCUUAUAACCUUGGCCGAAAGGUCUGGGUAAUCUCCAAAUUUCGUCGUGAUGGGGAUAGAUUAUUGCAAUUAUUAAUCUUCAACGAGGAAUGCCUAGUAAGCGCAAGUCAUCAGCUUGCGUUGAUUACGCCCCUGCCCUUUGUACACACCGCCCGUCGCUCCUACCGAUUGAAUGGUCCGGUGAAGCGUUCGGACCGUGGCCUUUGGACGGUUCGCCGUCUGUUGGCUGCGGGAAGUUCGUUAAACCUUAUCAUUUAGAGGAAGGAGAANUCGUANCA